rnacentral:pre_miRNA from 1 species
UCACUCUGAAUGGUCUUCGCGCCAGAAGCACCACCCUCAACACCCGAAGCACCUUCUUUCCCCGACAUCUUUCUUAACGCACCAAUCGAAUGAAGAAUAGAUCCAAAACUAAAAAGAUAGAGUCUUUACCAAAAGAUCCCACCUUUAUCACCAAACGAAGCCCUAGACGAGCCUCCAAAUUGAUCUACUCCUCCAAAUAGCUCAAGUGUAACCUGGCUCUGAUACCACUUAUUGUGU